rnacentral:lncRNA from 1 species
GGUGCUGUGCCUGGGUUGUGCUCCCGCAGCCUGACUGCUGCCCCAGGUCACCGAUGUAAAUGACUCAGGACAUCCUGGAGAACAGGCUUCUGUGUAAAGUCAUUAUUUUGCUUCCUCACCAAAUCCUGCCCCCGCAAAGCACAGUCCACAGAACUUAGUGGCUUGUUAAAGGUGCAUCUGUUGCAUCAAAGUCCUCAGCAGAAAGCCUGGCCCCUGCAUUUUGUUCGGCUGCCUGCAGUGGCCAGAACAGGCUACAUGUUGAGAGCAGGACCCUGGCUGCUGUGCCCUCGCACGGCUGGUGACUAUAGGGGGGUGUGGACGUCAGGCAAGCACUGUUUGACUCCCAGCUGCUCCACUCCCCAGCUGAGCAGCCGUGGCUCUUGUGGCAGGAACUGCCAGAUGCCCCCCAGCUUUCCUCCUGCUCCUGGGCACACGGUGGGGCUGUGUUGCCCUACCCCACUAGGUUCUGUGGCCCUGUGAGGUCAUCCUCACAGCGGAGCACCCCACACAGCUUCCCUGCCCUCUUCUUUUGAAUUCAGCAUCCGCAGUGGCCAUGAGCAGAGCCAGACAGCAGAAGCUGGGCCCUGGACGACUCCAUGGGAGAAACAGCCACAACAGGCAUGUGGGGCUCUGAUUCUAGGCCAGCCAGCUCUGCAGGGACACAGAAAUCCACCCCAGGAGUGGCGAGCUGCCCUAGCAAAACCCCGAGCACAUGGUGAGGAUGGAAUGCUGGGCAGCAUGAGAGGAGACACAUGGGGCUAGAGGAACGCGCAGCCCAGGAGCCGCAGAAUCAGGCACAGCCGUGGCUUUUACCCACUCAGGCCACUGAGGUCCCAGGGUGGCAGCUCUGGGAAGCGGCUAGGAAUGCAGGAUGCCGGGGACGAGGCUGUUGCUUGCAGAACCCCACCGGGUGUUUCACAGAACGAGUGUGGCCAGAUCCAGCCUAUUUCCAGCAGGGGGCCCAGAGAAGCCACAGUGGCUGCAGAGAGAAGAGAGAAGCAGAAACGUGUCGUUAGCCUUCAGGCAACAGGAAGCAGCCCUGGUAUGGUCACUGCACAAGGAACGGACUUGGUGAGCUGGUUUGGACGACUUCGGUGCAUUUGCAAUCUGGGGGAGCACAUCUGGGGCCUCAUCAGGGACCUGGCUGCCGAGGCCAGGUCUGCACCGUUCCUGCGCAGAGGUCACAGUGUCGGAGGCUGCACAGCCACUGCAGCAACGACCCUUCAUUUGGACUGCGCUUUUGUUGCAGGUGUCCUGUCUGCUGUUCUGC